GGGUAGUAGGGGGCUACACAUGCAGUCGACGAGGUCUACCAGUCGCUUGACUGGGGAAGACCGAGUGGCCAUCCUCUAAGGGGCACGUGAGGAACCUGUCCCGAUCUUUGGAAUCCCUUGUGGAAACAUUCGCUAAUACCGGAUGCCGUCGGACCAUCGCAUGAUGGACUGACGAAAGGGUUACCGGAUCGGGAGGGUCUCGCGGCCUAUCAGCUAGUUGGUGAGGUAACGGCUCACCAAGGCGUCGACGGGUAGCUGGUCUGAGAGGAUGAUCAGCCACACUGGGACUGAGACACGGCCCAGACUCCUACGGGAGGCAGCAGUGGGGAAUCUUGCACAAUGGGCGAAAGCCUGAUGCAGCAACGCCGCGUGCGGGACGAAGGCCUUAGGGCUGUAAACCGCUUUCAGCAGGGAAGAAGAUGACGGUACCUGUAGAAGAAGGUGCGGCCAACUACGUGCCAGCAGCCGCGGUGACACGUAGGCACCAAGCGUUGUCCGGAUUUAUUGGGCGUAAAGAGCUCGUAGGCGGUUCGGUAAGUCGGGUGUGAAAACUCUGGGCUCAACCCAGAGCCGCCACCCGAUACUGCUGUGACUCGAGUGCGGUAGGGGAGCGGGGAACUCCUGGUGUAGCGGUGAAAUGCGCAGAUAUCAGGAAGAACACCAGUGGCGAAGGCGCCGCUCUGGGCCGUGACUGACGCUGAGGAGCGAAAGCGUGGGUAGCAAACAGGAUUAGAUACCCUGGUAGUCCACGCCGUAAACGUUGGGCACUAGGUGUGGGUCUCAACCAACGAGAUCCGCGCCGUCGCUAACGCAUUAAGUGCCCCGCCUGGGGAGUACGGCCGCAAGGCUAAAACUCAAAGGAAUUGACGGGG
rnacentral:rRNA from 1 species